UUUUCUGGAAAAAAAAUGCAAACAUGUGUUUUAAGGUAAAUAUUAUGGAGAAUAAUAUUUUAAAUGCUAUAGUUACAAUUAAUAUUUGUAUAAAAAUGUAGGAAGCUAACAUUCAAAAUACAGACAUGUGUGAAUUAGCAACCAGCAGGAGUAACUUGUCCUGCUUAAAAUUUUAAAUGACGCAUAUUUAUGUUUUAUACAGGUGCACCUAUCUACUUGGAGUCAACAUGCAAUAGAUAUUUUUGGAAAUAAUUCACUUUCCAGCUUUUUUUCUUUCCAUUAAAAAAAAGAAGAAGAAGAAGAAGAAGAACCUUCAUCUCAGAGUUUGUUUAGUGAACUCUCUGCUGCUGCAACAAGAUUAGAUGUAUUAUAUUUGGAUUUGCAUACAACUUUUCAAAAACAUGGCUGUUGCAGAGAGGAUGAUCCAGGCAUACUACAGGUCCCUAGAUAUAACCAGCAGUUCUUCUGGUUUCUUCUGGCAAAACCACCUAUACUCCUUUGGGAAAAAGAAGCAAACAUUUAAUGUGGUUUCUUGAGGCUUGUCCAUCUCGAUGUCUUGUCAAAAACAAGUAUAUGGUCUAAGCAGGUCAUGGGAUUGGAUUCAAGAUUUUUUCUUCGUUGAGGGAGAUGACACAAAUCACUUUUUCUUCCCCAAAGGAGAAUAAAGUGGACUUUAAUAAAGAUGGAAACAUAUGCAACCCUACAUCUGGGCAAAAGUUUUUUUUUUAUAUCUCUCUUCACCCUAAGAAGAAAGGAAUCAUUGUACAUUCAGAGCUCUGGUUACACAACCAGACUGCAAUCAAGGAGCCAAUCGGUGUAUUCAAAAGAAGAAUCAUCAUCAAUAUGUUUCUUUGGCAUUAUCUUGAGAAUGAAUUCAGCACUCUCCUCUGGACUUAACUCUAACAAAGCCUUCACUACAACAAAAAACACUUUCUUGGGAUGCCUGGGUGGCUCAGCAGUUAAGCGUCUGCCUUGGGCCCAUGCUGUGAUCCUGGAGUCCCGGGAUGGAGUCCCACAUCAGGAUCCCUGCAUGGAG